rnacentral:rRNA from 1 species
GGUUCUUUGGUAAAUAUAAAGAAUCUGGCCUGCCCGGUGAAAAAUUUAACGGCCGCAGUAUCCUGACUGUGCGAAGGUAGCAUAAUAAUUUGUUCUAUAAUUAAGGAAUGGAAUGAAAGGUUGAACUAAGAUAUAACUGUCUUUUAUAUAUUUGUUAAAAGUUAAUUUUUUUAGUUAAAAAGCUAAAAUAUGAUUAAUAGACGAGAAGACCCUAUUGAGCUUUAAAAUAGUAUAAAUAUAAGGUAUAUAUAUAUAUAUAUUUAAUUGUAAAUAGGUGUGCGAGUUUUAGUUGGGGCGACUUAGGAAUAUAUAAAACUUCCUUUUAUAUAAAUUUAAGUAUAGUUUUAGAUCCAAGCAAUUUUGAAUUAAAAACAAGUUACCAUAGGGAUAACAGCGUUAUUUUUUUUUAGAGCUCUAAUCGAAAAAAAAGUUUGCGACCUCGAUGUUGGAUUAAAAAAUAGUAAAGGUUGUAGAAGCUUUUAUAAUUAGUCUGUUCGACUAUUGAAAUUUU